AACGAACGCUGGCGGCAUGCCUAACACAUGCAAGUCGAACGAGACCUUCGGGUCUAGUUGCUCACGGGUGCGUAGCGCGUGGGAACGUGCCCGUAGAUUCGGAAUAACUCCCCUUAGGGGGGGCUAAUGCCGGGUAAUUUCUUCGAACCACAGAUUCAUCGCCUUUGGGUAGGCCCGCGUUGGAUUAGCUAGUUGGGGGGGUAAAAGCCUACCAAGGCGUCGAUCCGUAGCUGGGUUGAGAGGAUGAUCAGCCACACUGGGACUGAGACACGGUCCAGACUCCGACGGGAGGCAGCAGUGGGGAAUACUAGACGAUGGGCGCAAGCCUGAUACAGCAAUACCGCGUGGGUGAAGAAGGCCUUCGGGUUGUAGAGCGCUUUUGUUGGGAAAGAAAAGCAGCAGGUUAAUACCCCGCGGUUCUGACGGUACCCAAAGAAUAAGCACCGGCUAACUUCGUG
rnacentral:rRNA from 1 species